AUAUAUAUAUAGUUGGUCAAGCAAAUCUUGUCAGUAGAAAAACGCGGCAAAUUUGAAAAAUCGCGGGCUAGCAACACUGUGUUCGAAUAAUUCCAAAAUCGCGUGUAAUCUGUGUUUUAUCUGUAGAAUGUGGAUCGUCCAUCUUGUUUGUUUACAUUCCGAAUCGGUGCUAAUUCAAGAGAAAUUUCUGCUCCCAGCAUUAAAAUAAAUAUCAAUAUAUUAAAUAAUAUUGUGCAUGACCAUAAGCAAAGUCAAGAUGCCUACAAUGUAAGUAAAAUCAUGCUCGUUGAUCUUAACCAUUAGAAAAUUUUGAGGUUAUGAUAAUUACUUCAAGAUCCCGGAGAAUUUUUAAGAUAAUGUGCAGUUUUUUCUGUUUCAGGGUUAAAAGGCUUAAAUAAAGAUAAAACGUAUGCCUAAAUAUAUCCAAUAAGACCACGAAUUGUGACCUCGAAACCGCAACUGAUUCGAUUGUUCCCAAUAUCAACAGACGAAGUCCUCAAAUAUUUUCAAAGGAUUAAAACUCGCCCAAUAUAAGGCGUUCGUAAAAGUUUCUCUUCAUACAAAACUUACCUACGGCGGUUUACGUACAUACGUGUACAUGUACAACGCAAACAAGACGAAAAAUAAACUUGUUAAUUAAAAAAACUAAAAAAAUUGGGACAAUAGUUUAGAUUAUUAUUGUAAAAGUUGUCCGUUUGUUAAUCAUCACGAAAAUAUAUUAUUUAGGCUGAUUUGUUUCAUGCACUCAGCUAUUGCACAUGUAUACCUAUGGAAAAUCCUAGUUUAUACUUUCUGAAGUUGGUAUGUACCUAUUUAAAAGAAGUUUUAAGUUGCUUUACCUGUUUGUUCAAUAAAUUAAAAUAAUUUAUUCAGUGUGCAUAAUUUUAGAAAAAUAUUUUAACAUUUAAAUCAUACCUUCUUUUAUCCAGAAACAAUAUAACUCCAUAUUACUCACAUGAGUGGAAGUUGUUAAGUUUCCAUUGUCAAGGUAUCUUUGAUUAAUAUUUUGAGUACCUGAAAUUGUGUCAGUUCCUGACAAGUCUUGAAUAGACUAAUGUGAAAGUUAAUAAAAUUUCUUAACAGCAUUCUCCUGAUAUCUAAAUGACUUUUUUAAAUAUCUACAUAUAAAAUAUGAUCUAGCCAAUACAUAUACCUGUAUAAAAACAGUAGUGUGAGCAAAACCUUACCAAGCUAGCAUGUAAGAGUGGUCUCAGAGAUAUUGGAAUAUCUCUGUACUAUAAAUUAGGCAAAUUGCUUUAGACUAAGUUUUAUGUGUAACUACUACUAUAAGAAUACAUUUUGAAACUUGGAAUGGAAACUUUAAACUUGAAAUUACAAAUUUUCAAACAGAUCUGUUUUAUGCUUAAGAUGCAAUAAGUGACUAGGUACAAAGUAUUCUGAUGCUUGGAGUGGACCAGUAACAUUGGUAACUUAAUGAUAUUAUUUCAAUGAAUGGCCUGAAUUAAGUGUAAGUAAGCUAAAGUGACCCGUAUCUUAAUUGCCUUGAAAUUAAAUGAACACCAAAAUAUCUGCAGUUGUGUUUUAUUUAUUUUUAAUCUGUAUAUUUAUAUAAAUAUAUUGUAAAACCAUUUCAAAAUUACACUGGUAUGUGAAUGUGACAUUGUUCAAGAGAAAUACACUAAUUUACAAUUAACAA